UACAGAGGAUGCAAGCGUUAUCCGGAAUGAUUGGGCGUAAAGCGUCUGUAGGUGGCUUUUUAAGUCCGCCGUCAAAUCCCAGGGCUCAACUCUGGACAGGCGGUGGAAACUACCAAGCUGGAGUACGGUAGGGGCAGAGGGAAUUUCCGGUGGAGCGGUGAAAUGCGUAGAGAUCGGGAAGAACAUCAGUGGCGAAGGCGGCCUGCUGGGCUGUUGCUGACGCUGAGGCGCGACAGCGUGGGGAGCAAACAGG
rnacentral:rRNA from 1 species